rnacentral:rRNA from 1 species
CAGCCGCCGCGGUAAUACGUAGGUGGCAAGCGUUGUCCGGAAUUAUUGGGCGUAAAGGGCUUGCAGGCGGUUUCUUAAGUCUGAUGUGAAAGCCCCCGGCUCAACCGGGGAGGGUCAUUGGAAACUGGGAAACUUGAGUGCAGAAGAGGAGAGUGGAAUUCCACGUGUAGCGGUGAAAUGCGUAGAGAUGUGGAGGAACACCAGUGGCGAAGGCGACUCUCUGGUCUGUAACUGACGCUGAGGAGCGAAAGCGUGGGGAGCGAACAGGAUUAGAUACCCCGGUAGUCCCUGUCUCUUAUAC